GUUCCAUUGUUUAGUUCCACUUCAAAGUUAAUAUAUUUCUGAGGGCUGCGCAGCAGGCGGCGGGGCCCGGGCGGGCAUGGCGGCGGUGGGGAAGAGGCGCGGGGACGCGGCCGGUUACCUGAGGCCUCCCGCGGCAGCCGCCAUCGAGGGGGAACCCAUGUCACGGCGACAGGAACAGCGUCGCGGCGGCCCGGCCCCCUCCCGGCGGCCACCUCCUCCUGCCCUGCCGCCACCGCCCACUUGGCCCCGCUCUUCCCGUCAGCCCCCGCACUGCCACCGCCCUUGGAACCGGCGUCACUCCCAGCAACGGCCGCGAGAACGCGAAGAAAUAAAAAAGCGAGAUGGGGCAAUCAUCGUUCCACUUUUCACGUCUCUGUGUGACCAGAGGGUAAACAUCUUGAACUUCAGAGUCUGCAUACCACCUAAUCCCGAGGGAGUCCCCAGGGCCUGUCUGCAUUGAGCUGAAACCUCAGUUCUUAAGCAUCAGGAUCUGCCAGAUUUACAGCCUUCAAAGAGUAGCUUAGCAUCCAAAAUAGUGUAAAGCCUGUGCUGACCUGGCAGGACAGAAGCAGCAACAAGGGAGCUGAAAGGAUAGACAACAGCCCAGUUCAUCGGCACAGGCGUGAAGAACUGCACACAGAAAAGGAACAGGGCAGCCUUCCUACUAUAGUUGUGUCCAGAGCUGGCUGUCACUUCUCCACACAGACGAUGGCACCUGAGCCGGUUUGGAAUCUACAGUUCUAACAAGUUCAGCCAAGUUUUGUAAGCUGAAGAUCUCCGUUUAUCUUUAUUGUGUCAAUUGCUGACAGUGUUUCAAUACGGUGGUAAAAAUCAAAGAGCUGAUGUCCAUCCACAAAUAUUCUAAAACGGGGAUGCUCACAAAGUAUCUCAACCUGUAAAAAAUAAAAUGAUGAACCGUGUUCACAACGUAACUGGGAAGUUAUUUCACAGGAUGCAAAGAGCACCGGAUUAGCCUUUAAGCAGCGUUGGUAUGGUUACACAUCUUGCUACUUGCACGCCACGUAGCAGAGAAAGCUGAGCCCCCUUUGCCCCCACGACCCCAGUUACACUACAAGGGAUCUGCUCGCACUUCACAGAGAUGUUAAUCCAGCCUCACACAGCCAGGGUGGGGAGGACCCCCAAACCCUGAUGCACAGCUCUGCAGAUUAUGGUCCUGCUGGCACCAGGGAGGUUUUCUCUCUGUGAAUAAUGCCAGAAGCAAACUGCUAAUUAAAGGUAUAUCCAACCCAAAUCUUGCAUUCCUGGCUACAGAUGUUUGUUUGUUUUUUUUUUCCCGGCAGAAUGAGGGGGCAGCUCCCUCUGCAGUGUUUUCCAUGCUGCCAUUAAUUCAGUGGAAGAGAGCAAACAUGAGAGGGAUAGGUUUGCCCUCCACUCCCACACGCCAGAACUGCACUUACACAGCUGCUGUGCAACUAAAAAGCUUCUGCUGUGGCGACUGCACACAGGACUGCCUGCUGGACUAGGGGCUGCAGUGAGGGAGACGUAGCACAGGACAGCUUAAAUACAGCCAGACAGCCCACACAAGGCACAGCCUGCACAAGGGAAGGAUAAAGCUCAUCUCUCGUCCUACGGCCCUGGAGAAAUAAUCUAGAAAAGCCACAAGGAGAGGAGCUAGACCACUCGUUCUGGAUAAAUAUUCCUGAUAUCGAGGGUGGCUUGAUGCCUUGAGGAUAAGCUUUGCUAGAGCUGCCCCAUCAGGAAGCCAAGACGAGAAGGCACAAAACAUGCAUUUUUUGUAUGCGCCCUCAUAGACCUCCAGGUCUGGAAAGGCUGAGAAGCGAAUCUGCAGGGAAGCCAUGUGCAAAUCCUGGGUUGUUUCUGAGGCCGGUAGUCUGGAGCAAAGUGAGUGAUAAACUGAGCGAGUCGAAGUGCGUCUGAUUUAGGGCAUAUCAUACUGAGGAAGUAGCAGCAGACUGCCCACAGGACCUGGUAGCG
rnacentral:lncRNA from 1 species